GUGCUCGCUUCGGCAGCACAUACACUACAACUGGAACGAGACAGAGAAGAUUAGCAUGGCCCCUACACAAGGACCACAUGCAAAUUCGUGAAGCGUUCCAUAUUUAA